AGAAUUCCAAACUUCAGGGGGAGCAUCGGAAGAACCGUCGCCCGCCUUUGGGUUAGAAGAACGGGGUGCUUGCAUUGUCGGAGUAAGGAGUAAGAUGCCCAGGGGACAAAAAGAAAAGAUAUCUUAAUAUUAAUCAAAAGGAAUUUGGACAUUUUGACUUGAAGAUUUCCUUCCUGUCCUCUCCUUCCCAGGGUUUUAUUUUAAGAAAAAACUCAGAAACUUAAAAAACAACAGCCAAAAAAAAAAGUUACCUGUACAGAACAGAAGAAGCUAACAAUGAUACCCAGGAAUGGAAGAUUCGGUGCAAGGAUCGCAAGAAUUCAAGCAUUUAUCUCAAACUCUGAGCGGUUCAUGUAUUGCUGGGCCUUCCGUCUGAAAUUACUGCUAUAUUCUCACAGCCCACAUUUUCCUUUACAUUUUUCCCCCUUCCCCUUCCAACCAUUAUUAAACUAAAAUACAAACAGAA